UACAGAGGUCUCAAGCGUUGUUCGGAUUCAUUGGGCGUAAAGGGUGUGUAGGUGGCGCCGUAAGUCGGGUGUGAAAUUUCGGAGCUUAACUCCGAAACUGCAUUCGAUACUGCGGUGCUUGAGGACUGGAGAGGAGACUGGAAUUUACGGUGUAGCGGUGAAAUGCGUAGAUAUCGUAAGGAAGACCAGUGGCGAAGGCGGGGUCUCUGGACAGUUCCUGACGCUGAGGCACGAAGGCCAGGGGGAGCAAACGGG
rnacentral:rRNA from 1 species